ensembl:miRNA
GCUCCGGUGGCGCAAUUGGUUAGUGCAUGGUACUGAUGUGAUACUGUCAGUGGAGUAAUACUGAGGUUGUGAGUUCAAGUCUCACCCGGAGCAUGUUUUUUAUUCUUU